UCUGCUUGAACUUGGAACUGUAGUAGUAGUAUUGUUUAUUUCGGCCCAAGGCCAGUUGGAACUGAGAAACAGAGGCCAAGGGUCUGCCCCUGACUUCAUGCUGAGUUUUGGAGGUACAGCAUGAGGUCAGAAUUAUGACCCCACCCCUUGGGGAAGACAGAGUCCGGGAGGUUUUUCCACACAGGGCUUUUAACUAGCAUCUCCUCGCAUUUGACAUGGUCCAUCUGGGGCAAACAAGCGAAUGGUUGCUGCCAAGAAGAAGAGCAACUGAGAAUUCUUAUAGGUGAUCUGCCUCAGGAGGCCUCCACACACAAACACCUUAGCUGAAUAUACCACCACAACAGAGGAUGAAAGGAUAAUUCACCAUUCACAGGCAGCUCCCCCAACACAUGCCAAGGAGGAGAACUUCAAUGUGCCCUAUGCCAUCCAGACCCACCAUUGCCCAGCAGCAAUGACUAGUAUGAAUCUAGAUGUUUCUCUUCUGGGAUGACAGCCUAGUUGCACCACAUAGUCACUGUAGCUCUGCAAGCUCCUUGACAAACAUUUGUGCAACCAGUGCAGCUAGACCGAACCAACACCUACUACUCUGCUGUCUGUCAUGCAACUUUCAAAGGCAUUACCCUUUUGGAAUGGGAUGGGAUGGCUGGCAACUCCAAAUAUGUGUCUUUCUUUCAGAUGCCAUUCCAUCUUUUACAGUCUCCAAUUAAAUAAAGCCUUCAUCUCCUGGU